CCACCCUCAAGGCUCCCAGACUCCCCCUCCGCUGCCGACUGCCCGGCUGCCCGCUCAGCUCUGCGUUCUCUGGCCCUCAGACACCCAACUGUGGCCACUGGGUGAGGUCUGGGGCACCGAACCACCAAACCACACAUCUGCAAAGCGCGAGCUGGUGUCUCUUCACACACUGGCUGCCCGCCUGGUCUGGCUCCAGGCACUGCCUGGCCCAGAAGUGGUUAUGACCGCCUGAGCUUGCUACCUGGGGUGCCAGAAUGGGAGUGCAGGUGGAGAGGGGCAGAGAGCCUCCUUCAAACCCUGGGAGCUGGGGAGCCACUCCGUGCUGCCUGGGGAUGGCACAAGGGAGCACAAAUUCGGGCCAGCUCAGAGGUGGGUAGCGGUGUCCCUCAUAGCCUUAAUUUGCAUGUCUCUAGUGAGCAGGGGUCUUGAGCAUCCUCUCAGGUGCUCAUUUGCCAAUCAUAUGUCUCCUUUGGAAAAGGAAAUAUAUGCCUGAAUCUUAUGUUCAGUUGUAAAAAUUGGGCAUGGUGGCACACACCUGUAAUCCCAGCACUUUGGAGGCUGAGGCAGGAGGAUUGCCAUGAGUUAGAGGCCAGCCUGGCCUACAUAGUGAGUUCAAGGCCAACCUGAACUACACAGUGAGACCCCUUCUCAAAAAACAAACAAAUAAAAAUUUUACUUUAUCAUCUUAUUGAGCUGC
rnacentral:lncRNA from 1 species